rnacentral:rRNA from 1 species
UGGGACUGAGACACGGCCCAGACUCCUACGGGAGGCAGCAGUGGGGAAUAUUGGACAAUGGGUGCAAGCCUGAUCCAGCAAUGCCGCGUGGGUGAAGAAGGUUUUCGGAUUGUAAAGCCCUUUUGGCGGGGACGAUGAUGACGGUACCUGCAGAAUAAGCCCCGGCUAACUUCGUGCCAGCAGCCGCGGUAAUACGAAGGGGGCUAGCGUUGCUCGGAAUGACUGGGCGUAAAGGGCGCGUAGGCGGCGAUCAAAGUCAGGCGUGAAAUUCCUGGGCUCAACCUGGGGGCUGCGCUUGAUACUUGGUUGCUUGAGUGGGGAAGAGGGUCGUGGAAUUCCCAGUGUAGAGGUGAAAUUCGUAGAUAUUGGGAAGAACACCGGUGGCGAAGGCGGCGACCUGGUCCUUGACUGACGCUGAGGCGCGAAAGCGUGGGGAGCAAACAGGAUUAGAUACCCUGGUAGUCCACGCCGUAAACGAUGUCGAUUUGGAGGUUGUGCCCUUGAGGCGUGGCUUCCGGAGCUAACGCGUUAAAUCGACCGCCUGGGGAGUACGGCCGCAAGGUUAAAACUCAAAUGAAUUGACGGGGGCCCGCACAAGCGGUGGAGCAUGUGGUUUAAUUCGAUGCAACGCGAAGAACCUUACCUACUCUUGACAUCCACGGAACUUGCCAGAGAUGGCUUAGUGCCUUCGGGAACCGUGAGACAGGUGCUGCAUGGCUGUCGUCAGCUCGUGUUGUGAAAUGUUGGGUUAAGUCCCGCAACGAGCGCAACCCUUAUCCUUUGUUGCCAGCACGUAAUGGUGGGAACUCAAAGGAGACUGCCGGUGAUAAACCGGAGGAAGGUGGGGAUGACGUCAAGUCAUCAUGGCCCUUACGAGUAGGGCUACACACGUGCUACAAUGGCGUAUACAAAGAGAAGCGACCUCGCGAGAGUCAGCGGACCUCAUAAAGUACGUCGUAGUCCGGAUUGGAGUCUGCAACUCGACUCCAUGAAGUCGGAAUCGCUAGUAAUCGUAGAUCAGAAUGCUACGGUGAAUACGUUCCCGGGCCUUGUACACACCGCCC